AAGAACGUAGUGUAAUUGGCAACACAGUGGACUCCAAAUCCACUUUUGAGGGUUCAAAUCCUUCCGUUCUUGCCA
rnacentral:tRNA from 1 species